AUAAAUUAAGUACUUAGUACAUAUCAUUUACAAUGAUAAGGACUAAAUUAUAGAGUUUAUAAAUAUUACUGUAAAAUAAUUCAUUUAUGUUAUUUACCUUUUGCAUAAUGGUUUAAUUAAAUAAUUAGUUUUAAAUUACCCGAAUUUAGAAGAUCUAAUUUUUUAGGACUAAGUUAAUAAUGUUUCAAAAUUAUAAUUUAAUAAAAAUUAGGAGUGAAAGGCCUAUCAAUUCUAAAGAUAUCUGGAAUAAUUUAAAAUGUAUUAAGUACAGAAUAAAGUUUGAAUAAAAAAAUGUUAAUUUUUUUAUAAAGAAUUAUUAUUAAAUUUAUUAAGAAUUAAUCUUCAAUUAAGAUCUAUAAAAUUAAUUAUUUAUUAAAUCUUUAAUUUAAAAUUAUAUUUAUAUUAAUUAAUAAAGAAAUUAUGUUAAAAUUAGUAUAAUAUUAUUAUUUAAAAAAGGAAUUCGGCUUUCAUCUGUUUAUCAAAAACAUAGUCUUAUGUAAAUAUAAGGUGAAACCUGCCCACUGAUUUUAAUGGCCGCAGUAAUUUGACUGUGCUAAGGUAGCAUAAUAAAUUGACUCUUAAUUGGGGCCUUGAAUGAAAGGGAUAAUGAAUAAUUUCUGUCUUUAAUAAAUAAAUUAAAAAUUACUUAAAAGGUGAAAAUUCCUUUAAAUAAAUAAAAUAGACGAGAAGACCCUAGGAGUUUUUUUGUUGGGGCGACAAUAUAGCAUAACCUAUAUAUUUAUAAUAACAAAAUGUUUUAAUAAUAAUUCAACUACCCUAGGGAUAACAGCAUAAUUUAAAAUUAAGUUUGUGACCUCGAUGUUGGAUUAGGAACUUUAAAGCUAACAGCG
rnacentral:rRNA from 1 species